GCCCUGAAGGGCGUAUGGUGGAUGCCUUGGCAGACAGUACCGAUGAAGGACGUUUGAGGAUGCGAUAAGCCUCGGGGAGCCUCCAACAUGGCUUCGAUCCGAGGAUUUCCGAAUGGGGCAACCCGCCGGCCGUCAUGGGCCGGCACGGAACCUUGUUGUUCCGGGGGUACGCAGGGAAGUGAAACAUCUCAGUACCUGCAGGAAGGGAUACUCCGUGAGUAGUGGCGAGCGAAAGCGGAUCAGACCAAACCAUGGGCGCGUGAUACCCGUCGGGGGUUGCGUUCGUGGUGUUGCGGGAGCGUGUGUCCCGGUUC
rnacentral:rRNA from 1 species